rnacentral:rRNA from 1 species
CCUACGGGGGGCUGCAGCGAGGGAUUUUCCGCAAUGGGCGCAAGCCUGACGGAGCAACGCCGCGUGCGGGACGACGCCCUUCGGGGUGUAAACCGCUUUUCGGCGGGACGAGGAUGACGGUACCGCCGGAAUCAGCCUCGGCUAACUACGUGCCAGCAGCCGCGGUAAUACAGAGGGUGCAAACGUUGCUCGGAAUCAUUGGGCGUAAAGCGCACGUAGGCGGUCCAGCAAGCGGGGAGUGAAAGCCCUCGGCUUAACCGAGGAAGUGCUUUCCGAACUACUGGGCUUGAGUACGCAAGGGGGUCGCGGAAUUCCCGGUGUAGAGGUGAAAUUCGUAGAUAUCGGGAGGAACACCAGUGGCGAAGGCGGCGACCUGGGGCGAUACUGACGCUGAGGUGCGAAAGCGUGGGGAGCAAACAGGAUUAGAUACCCCAGUAGUC